UCCCACAUUCUAGAAGUCUCUCUGCCCAGCUCUUCCAAGAGGACCCCAGGGCUCUCCAGGCUGCUGCCAUCAGCAGUCUUGGGGGCUCCCCUCCCUGCCAGGUCCUAAGCUGUGAGCCGUCACCGGGGGCCGCUCUCCUCUGGGGCUCCCCGCCACGCCUGAAUCGAGGCUGCCAGCACCCGCGCCGAGUGCCCUGGGCUGCCUGCGGACCCUGACGGGCACAGCCCGCCGUCACUCUCGGGCACCAGGCAUGUGCUACCCAGUCUUAAAUCAGAAGAUGGGCUCUUGGGAGGGCUGGGAGGCCAAGAAGUGGAGAGGAUUCACAGAAAAGAAUCACAGCUCCCGCUGGAGGCUGUACGCACUCUGAUGAACCAUUUGGAUUGGUGACUCUCUCUGAGAUCCCAUGACCUCUCAGAGUCUUCACAUUUCCCACUUCAACCCCUGUGGAAACCUUUUCAUCAUAGCAUUUCCAGCACGAGGCAGCAGAGGCAGACUCCGGCUGUUUUGCAGAUAUUGGAACCCCCUACCAGACUGAAGAAGUUAACUGUAUGCUGAUUACCAGGAUCUAGACCCCAGGCUGGUUGGAGCUAGAAGGCUGAUAAAGCUGACUCCUAAUUACCUCACCAGCAACCAAUCAGAAGAUGUCUAUGAGCUGAUUAUGUAUAAUACAUAAGGGGAAGACAGAGGAUGCGGUGGUUGGGUGGCAUCACUGACCCAGUGGACAUGAGUUUGAGCAAACUCUGGGGAGUUGGUGAUGGACAGGAAAGCCUGGCAUGCUGCAGUCCAUGGGGUCUCAAAGAGUCAGACAUGACUAAGAGACUGAACUGAACUGAUGCAUAAUACAACUCCCCCCCUGUCUUUAAAAAUCUGUCCCUGAAAGCCUUCAGGGAGUUUGGGCAUUUGAAGCUCUGGACUUCUUGCUUGG